rnacentral:rRNA from 1 species
AGUGAACGCUGGCGGUAGGCCUAACACAUGCAAGUCGAACGGCAGCACAGUAAGAGCUUGCUCUUACGGGUGGCGAGUGGCGGACGGGUGAGGAAUACAUCGGAAUCUACUUUUUCGUGGGGGAUAACGUAGGGAAACUUACGCUAAUACCGCAUACGACCUACGGGUGAAAGCAGGGGAUCUUCGGACCUUUCGCGAUUGAAUGAGCCGAUGUCGGAUUAGCUAGUUGGCGGGGUAAAGGCCCACCAAGGCGACGAUCCGUAGCUGGUCUGAGAGGAUGAUCAGCCACACUGGAACUGAGACACGGUCCAGACUCCUACGGGAGGCAGCAGUGGGGAAUAUUGGACAAUGGGGGCAAGCCUGAUCCAGCCAUACCGCGUGGGUGAAGAAGGCCUUAGGGUUGUAAAGCCCUUUUGUUGGGAAAGAAAAGCAGCAGGUUAAUACCCCGCUGUUCUGACGGUACCCAAAGAAUAAGCACCGGCUAACUUCGUG